GGCCGGUUGGCAGAGUGGCUCAUGCAGAGGACUGCAAAUCCUUGUACAUCGGUUCAAUUCCGGUACCGGCCUCCA
rnacentral:tRNA from 12 species